AAUAAAUCUGUUAGUCUUUAAGGGGCCACCGGACUCCUUGUUGUUUUUGUGGAUACAGACUGACACAGUUCCCCCCUGAUGCUUCAGGUCAUUUUGAACUCUCACCCUGUGCUCCGAAGUGCUGGCAACCCUGUCCCAGCUUGGUGCCAUCUGCAAAUUUUAUCCGCGCUCUUCCCUCCAUUAUCCAAGCCAUUGAUGAAAAUCCUGAAUAGUAUCAGACUCAGGACUGACCCCCAUGAGACUUCAUUAGAUAACCCCCCCGGUUUGAGAGCGAACGAUGGGUAACUACUCGUAAACAAGUGAUGAUUCAGCAGAAAGGCUUGAGGGCAAAGGCACCUAGAGCCAAGCCGGGGAACAGUAGCCGCAUUCUGUUCGGGGCGUCAGUGGGACAGGGAGCCUGAACUGCAGGGACAAGAAGGGCCGGGACUGCAUUGAGCAAGACCUCCAAACACAAGGUGCUUCUGUCUCGCGUUGGCGGGGAUGCCAAGCCGCUCCCAGGCAAAAAUAAAAUCGAUGGAGUCUUCCAGGUAAUUGGGGCCUACCACCUGCCAGAAGAUGAGAGAAAGGAUGGCUUUGUGGUUAACACCUCCUGUGGGAGAUCUGGUUUCAAUCCCCAGCUCUGUAACAGACCCCAAGGUGGGCAAAGAGAGAUGAUGUAACCUCCUUAUGUUUGCAUGGCGAACCAUCUGCAGAGUUGGGAGUAGAACCCAGGAAUCCUGGCUCCUA